GACGAACGCUGGCGGCGUGCUUAACACAUGCAAGUCGAACGAAGUGGCGAACGGGUGAGUAAUACGUUGGUAACCUGCCCUCCUUUUUGGGAUAAGCCUUGGAAACGGGGUAUAAUACCGAAUAAAGGGGGAUGGGCUCGCGGCCUAUCAGCUUGUUGGCGGGGUGAUGGCCUACCAAGGCGGUGACGGGUAGCCGGACUGAGAGGUUGACCGGCCACAUCGGGACGGCGUUGCUGCGCAGACACCUACGGGAGGGUGCAGUGGGCGAUAUUGCACAAGGUGAGAAAGACUGGUGCAGCGUUGCCGCGUGGGGGAUGCAGGCUUUCGGGUUGUAAUCCUCUUUCGCUCUCGAAGGGGUAGCUGGUGCAGAAGCGGCGGCUAACUUCGUGCCAGCCGCCGCGGUAAUAC
rnacentral:rRNA from 1 species